CGACGAUGCCACCAGCGAUCCGCCUGAGUUCCUUAAAUGACUCGGCGCGCAGACGAAGGGAAACCAAAGUUUUUCGGUUCCGGGGGAAGUAUGGUUGCAAAGCUGAAACUUGUCGGAAUUGACGUUUGGGCACCACCAGGAGUGGAGCCUGCGGCUUAAUUUGACUCAACACGGGAAAACUUACCCGGCCCGGACACUGGCAGGAUUGACAGAUUGAGAGCUCUUUCUUGAUUCAGUGGGUGGUGGUGCAUGGCCGUUCUUAGUUGGUGGAGCGAUUUGUCUGGUUAAUUCCGAUAACGAACGAGACUCUAGCCUACUAAAUAGGCCACCGGCUUACUGACGUCGGUGGGACUUCUUAGAGGGACAGGCGGCGAUUCAGCCGCACGAAACAGAGCAAUAACAGGUCUGUGAUGCCCUUAGAUGUCCGGGGCCGCACGCGCGCUACACUGAAGUGAUCAGCGUGCAUUACAAACCUGCUCCGUCAGGAGUGGGGAACCCAAUGAACCUUCUUCGUGAUUGGGAUAGGGGAUUGUAAUUAUUCCCCUUGAACGAGGAAUUCCCAGUAAGCGCGAGUCAUAAGCUCGCGUUGAUUACGUCCCUGCCCUUUGUACACACCGCCCGUCGCUACUACCGAUUGAAUGAUUUAGUGAGGUCUUCGGACUGGCCAAGCAGCUGUCUUCGGGCGGCCGCGCUGUGUUUGGAAAGAUGCCCAAACUUGAUCAUUUAGAGGAAGUAAAAGUCGUAACAAGGUUUCAGUAUGUGAACCUGCGGAAGGAUC
rnacentral:rRNA from 1 species